AAAUGAGACACCCCCCCCGGCUCGUUAGUGAUGGGCAGGGGAGGCCAGAGAAGGCGAGGGGAGCUGGCAUCACGCGCGGCUCAGACACUCGCCACUUACACAGCACGGGGCAAAAGUCAGUGAAAGGAAAAGCCCGGAGAGGGGAGGGGGUGCAGGGAGGCUCAGAGGCUCCUGGCACGCACAAGGAACGCACACCCUCAGCAGGAGGCACAGGACUUUCUGCUCCUCUCCAGUCGCUGUCCUGCCUGCUCACAAGGGUGUUCCUGAUUCCGGGGCGUCCAAAGGUUGACGUUACUCUCAGGUGCAGUGCCUCUUUCCUGGAGCACUGCAUGCCUCAGAAUGUAAUAAGCAAAAAGCCUCCUGCCCAGUGGAAGGGAAAGUCUGGCAGAAGAGCUCUAGCACCCAGAAGAGCUGUGAAGGUUGGAACAAAACUCCUCUCAGAUCCUUCUCCCACACUAAGAUGCGACAGGAGGAAGAAGAGACGUGAACCCAGCUGGUACAGAAGGGAGAGCUUUGUAGGAUGGGUCAGAAUCUCUAUAUCCAGGACAGAUGCCCAGACUUCUAGACAAACCCAACACAGAAGGGGAGCAGGGGGAGUGGGGAAAUUGCAUCUGAAUCUGCUCGUGGUUCAGCUCAUGGCAUGGUUCUAACCACAGGUGCCGCAUAAAGAGGGGCUGGGAAGUUGCAGCUAGCACCUAUCUCCCCGCUCUCAGCUCGUUCUGCAGUCAGAUUAGAGCGGUCACGAGACAACUUUAUUCCACGGAGCUCAGGGCACCUCUCCAAACAUCUGUGCUCCACAGCUGCUCCGGCAGCGAGCGAGACAGAAAGCUGCGACCGGUCUCAGCAUCGCGUGCAGCCCUCCCCGUGCCUCCACCCAAACCAGGUCUCUACUCAGAAAGCCAAACCGAAGGCAGAAGGAAAAUAUCGGGACUGCUCACAUGCAUCCGCGGGGUGCCAGGUAGAAGGCUGCCCCAGAACACAGCAGGGAUGACCCCAUCUGGCCUGCAAUCGUCCCACCAAGCAAAACAGAGCAAGAGCGUUUUCCAAGCAAGGAAACCGCCAGUCCCUCUAGAUUAUUUGUUUUACCUGCCACACCACCUGCGAAUAAACCUAUCAACCCAGCAAGGCUUAGUAUCUGGUCCUUCCACAGCCUGAUCCUUAUAAUAAGCACCACCGCUCUGGAAGAUUAGACUUGACCACGAGAAAGAGUGAAGACGCUUCACACACAUCCAGUGGCCACAGGUCCCUGCAACGAGCGGGGGAAUCUGGCUGAGUACAGACAGAGCAAGGCUCUGUAGGUGGCAUAAUAAUUUACCUGCCUCCAAGGGGAUGAGAGCUUGACAGCUCAGGAGGAAUCAAACGCUACCGGCCUGCCCAAGCCUGGGAAAUGGGUCUUAAGGGGCCCCAGGUCCAGUCCCCUCAGCACUAGUGACAAGGAAGCAGCUCCCAUCUCCUCACCCAGAGUCAAACUCCAAGAAUACCUGCUCAGGCACAGGGGGCAUGCCAAAAACCACCAAAAAAUAUUCAUGCCCCAUUCCCACCUGGGAGCGGCAUAGGGAGAGAAGAGCCCAGACUAAGUCCCUAGGACCUAGAAGAAGAGGGAGUGGGGUGAAGUGCCAGCUCAGAGCCCUACAACCCACAUGUUCAGGUUGUGUUUUGCAGGCAGGAGUGCUAAACCUCAGCCCAGAAGAAACCGGUUAAGCUCUCCUCGUAGAGAGGACAACUGGCAGAUGUCUUCUUGGUAGCAAGCCCAACCGAGCCUGCAGAGACACGGGAACCAGUCUGACAAGCACUUCUUCACAGGUAUUUCUCAAAGCUCAGAAGCACCCUUCUGUGCCAGGGAGGAGGGGAGACGUGCAAUUUGGCAGCAAGCACGGGAGAGCUUCAGGCAGAAGCCACCGCGUUUGGAUGGGCAGUUGUGACAAACGACGUGUGCUCAGCAGAGGAUAGGCUGGUAAAGCAGGCAGCUGGAAGUCAGGAGACCGGAGAAAGCAGCAAGACUAGUCCAACUUUCAAAUCAAGGCUGGGAAACUGAGCAGUGCCGUGACUCGAGGCAGAAGAUGCAGGAACAGCAGAACGCUGCUCCAACCCAGAGCGGCCGUGCUUCUGCAGAAACCUCCCCGAGGCCGGUGUCCGGGAGCUGAGGGAAGCGCCGGCCUCACCUUCCCAGGCUGCGGGAGGGGAACGCAGGGCACGGGCUCCCGCGCC